rnacentral:rRNA from 1 species
AUGGCAGAUUCAGGAGCUGAUGGGGGUGGUGAUGCUUAUGAUCCAAUGAAAGAUCCAGAACGCAGGCCACGGAGGUCAAAUGAUCCAGGCUGGAAUUAUGGGUAUUGGUUGACACCUGGCAACAGCAAUAAUGUUGUGUGCAAUCUUUGUGGCAAGAUAACUAAAGGAGGGAUCAAGAGACACAAAGAGCAUCUUGCUGGCACCGGUGGGGAUGCAACGGGUUGUCCAAAGGCUACCACACAGCUUAGGAGGGAGAUGUUAGAAUAUUUGGAAAAGAACAGGAGAAACAUAGGACAGCCAGAUGAUGAUGAUGAUGUAGUGGAGGUAGAUGUAGCAGGGACAGUUCAAAGCUCCACUAAUGAAGCAACAGCUCAAUGCUUCGCUACAAGACCAAGUUCAGGGACAGCAGCCAAGAAGAACAAGAAAGCCUUUGCAGUAAAAAUAUCAGGCAAAAAGUGUCAAUAUGUUGCUCUCAAGUCAAUUGUUUCCAUGCUUAGGAAGAAACCUGAGGAUGUUGUCGAUGAAAUACGCUCCGGUUGCUCUCAAAGCACCAUGGAGUCCAGCACAAAAACACCGGAAGAGAGGCACUAUGUGAGUAUGCAGUGGGCAUUGUUUUUCUAUGAGUGUGGCAUUCCUUUCAAUGUUGCAAGCUGUAGGCAAUUCCAGAUUGCAAUAGAAGCCUCUUGUCAAUAUGGCCCAGGUUACAAGCCUCCUUCUCCUCAUGAGCUGCGAGAGCCAUUGCUUAGGGAUUGUGUCAAGGAAACAAAAAAGUUGAGGGUGAAGCACGAGGUAGCAUGGAAGCAAUAUGGCUGCACACUAAUGUCAGAUGGCUGGUCCGAUAAAAGGGGACGCCACUUGAUCAACUUCCUUGUAAACAGCCCGGCGGGCACUUACUUCUUGGAGUCGGUUGAUGCAUCAAGUGAAUGCCAAGAUGCUCGGAUGAUAGCAGAUUUGCUAGAGAAGAGAAUCGAGGAUGUCGGUAAAGAGUAUGUUGUCCAAGUUGUCACCGACAAUGGUGCUAACUACAAGGCAGCGGGUAAGAUACUAAUGGAAAGGAUUCCUACACUAUAUUGGAGUCCAUGUGCAUGCCAUUGCUUGGACCUGAUGUUGGAAGAUAUAGGGAAGCUAAAGCCAUUUAAGAGGCCUAUUGCACGGGGUAGACGAGUCACCACUUUCAUCUAUAGGCAUGGCAGAAUUCUUAGUCUAAUGAGGAAGGCAACGGGUGGGCUGGAUCUUGUGAGACCCGCAGCCACUCGCUUUGCCACAUCCAUUCUUGCUCUUAAGAGUUUGGUCAAGCACAAGCAAGCAUUGAGGAGUCUAUUUACAUGUCAAGCAUGGGUUGGAAACAAAUUGGCCAAAACUGCAGCCGGUUUGAAUGUGCAAGACAUUGUGCUUUCAGCAGAUUGGUGGCAUGCAAUUGAGGACUGCCUUAGAGCUUCAGGUCCACUACUUCGAGUGCUUAGGGUAGCGGAUGGUGAUGAGAUUCCUGCCAUGCCAGAAAUGACAGCACUAAUGAGGUUUGCAAAGGAGAAGAUCAAUCAAGGUUUCCCCCACCAAAACAAGCAAGCUUUGCUCAAGAAGAUCAUUGACAUUGUUGACAAACGUUGGGAGAAUCAAAUGGAUCAUCCAUUAUAUGGGGCUGCUUUGUUUUUGAACCCUGGAAAAUACUUCUCUAUUGCUGAGAGUGGUGAUGAUGCCCUAAUUGGGGAGCUAAGAAGUUGUUUUAAUGAUGUCCUUGCACGAACAGUACUUGAUGUCAAUACUCGCAACAAGAUUGAUGCACAAGCCGUUCUCUAUGAGGACAAGAGAGGACCCUUUGCUAAUCCGAUGGCAAUCGAUAACAUGGUCCAGAAAAACCCUCUUGAUUGGUGGCGUUCAUAUGGUGGUCGGGCAGUUGAGCUACAAAGGUUUGCAAAGCGUACUGUUAGUCUUUGUGCUUCAUCAUCCGGCUGUGAGAGGAAUUGGAGCGCAUUUGAACAUAUCCAUACCAAGAAAAGGAACCGGUUACAACACCGACUCUUGAAUGACAAUGUUUUUGUUUCAUACAACCGGAAGAACUUGGAUAGGUUUCAAAAGAGGCGUGAGAAGAUGGGUGGCAAUAGCUAUGACCCUCUAGUCAUUGAGGAUUUUGAUUGGGGCAAUGAGUGGGUUGACCCAACAAUACCUCCACCCCAAGGUGCUCGAGGGUGUCCCGAUGACAUUUCAUGGGAGCUUGUUGAUGAGGCUGUUGGUGCAAGUUCGUCGCUGCAAGGUCGCAACUUUCCUAGAGCUAGCACCAUGGCAAGGGGGGCCUCAAAUGUUAAUGUCCAGUACCAAAGGCAGCGCAAAAGGGCUGCUCCGUCACCAACAUUUCUUCAUGAAGAUGACGAAGAGGAUGACCAAGAACAACAACCAAGUAUCCCCAAUGGAGAGGAUGAUGAUUCAGACUUUCUUCAAGAUGAUGUUGAUGUGACCGAUGAUGAUGAAGAUCCAACUAGUGCUGACCAAGAUGGCGAAGACAACACAAAUACUACCAUCGAUGAGUUCGAUGAUGGCUAUUGA